AGCCUGUACAGUUCCAUCCAUCCAUCAGCCUGUACAGUUCCAUCCACCCAGUCAUCAGCCUGUACAGUUCCAUCCACCCAGUCAUCAGCCUGUACAGUUCCAUCCACCCAGUCAUCAGCCUGUACAGUUCCAUCCACCCAGUCAUCAGCCUGUACAGUUCCAUCCACCCAGUCAUCAGCCUGUACAGUUCCAUCCACCCAGUCAUCAGCCUGUACAGUUCCAUCCACCCAGUCAUCAGCCUGUACAGUUCCAUCCACCCAGUCAUCAGCCUGUACAGUUCCAUCCACCCAGUCAUCAGCCUGUACAGUUCCAUCCACCCAGUCAUCAGCCUGUACAGUUCCAUCCACCCAGUCAUCAGCCUGUACAGUUCCAUCCAUCCAGUCAGCCUGUACAGUUCCAUCCACCCAGUCAUCAGCCUGUACAGUUCCAUCCAUCCAGUCAGCCUGUACAGUUCCAUCCACCCAGUCACAGCCUGUACAGUUCCAUCCACACUGUAUUACUCCAUCUUCUCAACACAUAAGGAAUCAGUGUGUUGUGAGGAGCCUCUGUACUAUGUGGAAUAGUCCCACUCCACUUCUAGAUCCUUAAGCUUCACAAACUACAAAGUGCCCCAUAAAGAACUAACACAGUCAGUCGGAUAGCCAUGAACACAUUGUGAAUGGGCCCAUCAAAAGGCCCACCACACUAGGUUGUAAUGUGUUGUUCACUGCUCUAGUCUGCUUCACGGAACUAAAAAGUGGAAGGGAACUAUUCCGAGGACGACAGUGGUCCACUUCUAAGAUGGCCGACAAGAAGAAGAAAAAAGGUCCAAUCACAGCAGCUCUUUAUUUGCUUUCCCUUCUUUACUCACAUAUUAUAAAUACUCCUCAUCCACCAACGUUGAUAAGAAGCCCACUACAAUGUACGUCAGAGAGGCUGAGAGAAGACCGGGUAGGCUUACCAGUUACAGACCAGGGCUGUGUCUGAAAUGGCACCCGGUUCCCUAGAAAGAAGAGACAGGAAAUAGGGCAUCCUUUUGGGCGCACCCUAAAAACACUAAGGGCAAGUGCCACCACCACCACUGGCGGUCACAUGGCAGGAUUCUCAUAGUCCUGAUGGAAGACCUGAGGGCCACUGCAUAGCAGAGUCCAGAGGGUUGAGUUCCAGAUCAACCCAGAGCCUCCCUAUUCCCUAGGGCACUUCUAGAAAGUAUGGAGUGGAAACUGUAACCAAUAUGGUGAUUACUUCACCUUGUUAUAGUGCUCAUACCUCCAAAUCGGUCUCAGACCUAGAUGAUUGUCUAGGGAUUGGGGGGGUCGAUUUGGGAUUCAAGCCUAGAUGGCAGGUACCCAUUCACAGCCUAGCAUGAUCUCACACAUAAGUAGUCUUCCACCAUAAUGGGUUGCAUUCAUUGGGGCAUGCAACGGGAAGCGUUUAACAUUUUGCAACGUGGAACCGAACAUUAGCGUUUCUUUAUUGGGACCAAGUCCAGGUAGUUCCUCAGUUUGUUUUCUUCCGUUUGGUGCCUAAUGAACACAACCCAGCGCUGAAGAGAGGUACAACAUGGUGGGGAAAUAAACAUGGCCGCCUCCGCUGACUUAAAGCAGGGCAUUGAAACCUGAGAGGUGGCUGCAGCAGAUCGAUUAAACAGACGAUUACAGGAGGAGUCAGCAGGCUGCGUUUGCCUCUCUCACACACCGACUGCGUUAAAACCAACGAGAACACAUCAAUCAGCCGCGUAGCACACGACUACACGUCCUCUCUGCCGCCACGUUGCCAACGUUACAUUUAAAAAGAGAAAAAAAGUUGUCCAAAAUAGUAUUUACAUCUUCAACACACAUAAAUGAUGUUCCCUGACAUACUGUCCGUGUAAGGCAAUGAGGCUUCGUAGACCUCUCUGUGCUUCAGGGACGAAACACCAUACUGACAUGCUCCUGUCCACCACUCGGGAAAAGGAAAUCGAGAAAAAUGUCAAAUGUAAAAGUUAAAAUGGGUCAAACAGCAGCCCCCAACCACAUCCAGGAAACCAAGUGAUAAAAGUCACAAUUAAUAAUGAAAAUACAGCUUUUAAACAGCUCCGAGGGACUGGAAGAUAAAUACAGCAGUCUGGAUAGUUACAUUAUCAUUCCCAAUUACAAGUCCAUGUACUAUAUGAGAAUACACUGUUCACAUACUCUUUACAGCACGCUUGGUGACAGAGCAGGUGGUUAGGAAGCGGCGGGGCAGAGGGGCGUAUACAGGUGGUUAGGAAGGGGCGGGGCAGAGGGGGGCGUAUACAGGUGGUUAGGAAGGGGCGGGGCAGAGGGGCAUAUACAGGUGGUUAGGAAGGGGCGGGGCAGAGGGGCGUAUACAGAUGGUUAGGAAGGGGCGGGGCAGAGGGGUGUAUACAGAUGGUUAGGAAGGGGCGGGGCAGAGGGGCAUAUACAGAUGGUUAGGAAGGGGCGGGGCAGAGGGGCAUAUACAGAUGGUUAGGAAGGGGCGGGGCAGAGGGGCGUAUACAGAUGGUUAGGAAGGGGGCGGGGCAGAGGGGCAUAUACAGAUGGUUAGGAAGGGGCGGGGCAGAGGGGCAUAUACAGGUGGGUGAGGGGGUUGUAUAUAGGGUGGGCAUUGCAUUCCCAUGCCACCAAAGAGACCUAGGUAGGACUUGCAAUUCCUUUUGUACAGGGGCCCCCCAGUCACGCUUUCACCUUUGAACUUCCCUCUACAAAGAAACUUACUGAGUCUGACCCCUCCAGAGCCUCCCAAAACCCUGCCCGACGACAGCAGCUGCCGUCCCAUUACUGACCAAUCACCAGAAGGCGAGACGAGAAUAUAGGUCACCUCUUCCCCUCAUGAUACCAUUCAGAAAGAGUAAAGACACACCCUUAAAUUCAUAUUUGAUGAAAA